UUCUUCGGGAAAUGGGACAUAGAUACAAGCUAGCGGCGGAGUGGGGUGAGUAACGCGUGGGUAACCCUGCCCUUAAAGUCUGGGAUACCAUUUGGAAACAGAUGCUAAUACCGGAUAAAAAGCUACUUCGCAUGAAAGAAGUUUAAAAAAGGCGGCGUAAGCUGUCGCUAAAGGAUGGACCUGCGAUGCAUUAGCUAGUUGGUAAGGUAACGGCUUACCAAGGCGAUGAUGCAUAGCCGAGUUAAGAGACUGAUCGGCCACAUUGGGACUGAGACACGGCCCAAACUCCUACGGGAGGCAGCAGUAGGGAAUCUUCCACAAUGGACGCAAGUCUGAUGGAGCAACGCCGCGUGAGUGAAGAAGGUUUUCGGAUCGUAAAGCUCUGUUGUUGGUGAAGAAGGAUAGAGGUAGUAACUGGCCUUUAUUUGACGGUAAUCAACCAGAAAGUCACGGCUAACUACGUGCCAGCAGCCGCGGUAAAU
rnacentral:rRNA from 1 species